UGUUCAAGCUAUUAAGGGCUGCUGGUGGAUGCCUUGGCAUUAACAGGCGAUGAAGGACGCGCCUACCUGCGAUAAGUUUCGGGGAGCUGGAAAGAAGCUAUGAUCCGGAAAUUUCCGAAUGGGGAAACCCACCGGGGUGAAAGCCCCGGUACCGUUAACUGAAUACAUAGGUUAUCGGAGCGAUACCCGCUGAAGUGAGACAUCUCAGUAAGCGGAGGAAAAGAAAUCAAAAGAGAUACCCUGAGUAGCGGCGAGCGAAAUGGGUAGAGCCCAAACCGUAUACUUUGUAUGCGGGGUUGUAGGGCUAGCCACAACGUAUCAAGAAGUCUAACCGAAUCCUCUGAAAAGCGGAGCGACACAAGGUGAAAGCCCUGUAGGUGAAAGGCGGAAAGAACAGGCUAGUACCUGAGUAGGGCCGGACACGUGAAACCCGGUCUGAAUCUGGGGAGACCACUCUCCAAGGCUAAAUACUCGUUAAUGACCGAUAGUGAACAAGUACAGUGAUGGAAAGGUGAAAAGAACCCUCGAUAAGGGAGUGAAAUAGAACCUGAAACCAGCAGCUUACAAGCUGUCAGAGGCCUAUGGUCCUUUUAGGACAAUGGCUGAUGGCGUGCCUUUUGCAUGAUGAGCCAGCGAGUUGUGUUAUACGGCAAGGUUAAGUAGACGUCUCUACGGAGCCGAAGCGAAAGCGAGUGUGAAAAGCGCGUAUAGUCGUAUGAUGCAGACACGAAACCAAGUGAUCUACCUAUGACCAGGUUGAAGCAAGGGUAACACCUUGUGGAGGACCGAACCAGUACACGUUGAAAAGUGUUUGGAUGAGUUGUGGGUAGGGGUGAAAGGCCAAUCAAACUUGGUAAUAUCUUGUUCUCUCCGAAAUAACUUUAGGGUUAGCCUCAACAUAUGUGUAUGCAGGGGUAGAGCACUGAAUCCCCAAGGGGGUCUACCGACCUACCGACGGGAAUCAAACUCCGAAUACUGUAUACCCGGUUGGGAGAUAGACUGCGGGGGAUAAGCUUCGUAGUCAAAAGGGGAACAGCCCAGAUCGCCGAUUAAGGCCCCAAAUUCUAUGCUAAGUGUGUAAGGAAGUGAAGUUUCAAAGACAGUUGGGAUGUUGGCUUAGAGGCAGCCAUCAUUUAAAGAGUGCGUAACAGCUCACCAAUCGAGAGACUUUGCGCCGAUAAUUUACGGGACUAAAGCAUAGAGCCGAAAUCGCGGGUUUGUACGUAAGUACAAGCGGUAGGAGAGCGUAGUUAGGGCGCUGAAGGUGUACUGUAAGGAGCACUGGAGCGCUAACUAGUGAAGAUGCAUGGCAUGAGUAAACGAUAAAGGAGGUGAGAAUCCUCCUCGCCGAAAACCUAAGGUUUCCAGGGUAAAGCUCGUCUUCCCUGGGUUAGCCGGUCCCUAAGCCGAGGCAGAAAUGCGUAAGCGAUGGAAAGCAGGUUAAAUAUUCCUGCGCCGCCUAAGACUAUAGUGAUGGAGUGACGAAGUAUGUUAAGCACGCGGACUGUUGGUUAUGUCCGUUUUGAUAUGAGAGAGGCUGGUAGGCAAAUCCGCCAGCGUAAUCUUAGGUAUCAGAUAAAGGGAGCCCUCGUGGUGAACUGAUGGUGUAGCGCUAUGCUUCCUAGAAAUAGCUUCUAGCUGUCGAUGGUGACCGUACCAAAACCGACACAGGUGGGUGUGAAGAAUAUUCUCAGGCGCGCGAGACAACUCUUGUUAAGGAACUCGGCAAAUUAUCCCCGUAACUUCGGGAGAAGGGGAGCCACCGGGUGUGAUAGACUUCGCGUUUUGAGCACUUGGUGGCCGCAGAGAAAUGGCCCAGGCGACUGUUUAACAAAAACACAGCACUAUGCAAACACGUUAAGUGGAAGUAUAUGGUGUGAUGCCUGCCCAAUGCCAAAAGGUCAAAGGGAUUUGUUAGCUCCUCGGAGCGAAGCAUUGAACUUAAGCCCUGGUGAAUGGCGGCCGUAACUAUAACGGUCCUAAGGUAGCGAAAUUCCUUGUCGGGUAAGUUCCGACCUGCACGAAUGGCUCAACGAUCUGGGCGCUGUCUCAACAAGAGACUCGGUGAAAUUGUAGUAGCGGUGAAGAUGCCGUUUACCCGCAGUAAGACGGAAAGACCCCGUGAACCUUUACUGCACUCUAAUAUUGGCUUUUGACUUGUCAUAUGUAGGAUAGCCGGAAGACAUUGAAGUAGCUUCGUCAGGAGUUAUGGAGUCAUCCUUGAAAUACCGGUUUUGGCAGAUUGAAAAUCUAACGAUAUCCCAUGAAUCUGGGAGUCGGACAGUGUUAGACGGGCAGUUUGACUGGGGCGGUUUCCUCCUAAAGAGUAACGGAGGAGUCUAAAGCUUGCCUCAUUGUGGUUGGUAAUCACAAAUAGAGCGUAAAGGUAUAAGGCAAGUUGACUGCGAGACGUACAUGUCAAGCAGGAGCGAAAGCUGAGCUUAGUGAUCCGGCGGUUGAAAGUGGAAUCGCCGUCGCUUAACGGAUAAAAGGUACUCCGGGGAUAACAGGCUUAUCGCCACCAAGAGUUCAUAUCGACGUGGCGGUUUGGCACCUCGAUGUCGACUCAUCGCAUCCUGGGGCUGGAGAAGGUCCCAAGGGUUAGGCUGUUCGCCUAUUAAAGCGGUACGCGAGUUGGGUUCAGAACGUCGUGAGACAGUUUGGUUCCUAUCUGCUGUGGGCGUAGGAUACUUGAGGAGAGCUGCUUCUAGUACGAGAGGACCGAAGUGGACAAACCAAUGGUGUUCCGGUUGUUCUGCCAAGGGCAUAGCCGGGUAGCUAUGUUUGGAAAGGAUAAGCGUUGAAAGCAUCUAAACGCCAAGCCUCCUCCAAGAUAAGGUAUCCCAAUGAGACCCCCUGAAGACUACAGGGUUGAUAGGCUGGAUGUGUAAGCGCAGCAAUGUGUUUAGCUUACCAGUACUAAUAGGUCCACUGGCUUGG
rnacentral:rRNA from 1 species